GAGUGAACGCUGGCGGUAGGCCUAACCCAUGCAAGUCGAACGGCAGCACAGGAGAGCUUGCUCUCUGGGUGGCGAGUGGCGGACGGGUGAGGAAUACAUCGGAAUCUGCCCAGUCGUGGGGGAUAACGUAGGGAAACUUACGCUAAUACCGCAUACGACCUUCGGGUGAAAGAGGGGGAUCGCAAGACCUCUCGCGAUUGGAUGAGCCGAUGUCGGAUUAGCUAGUUGGCGGGGUAAUGGCCCACCAAGGCGACGAUCCGUAGCUGGUCUGAGAGGAUGAUCAGCCACACUGGAACUGAGACACGGUCCAGACUCCUACGGGAGGCAGCAGUGGGGAAUAUUGGACAAUGGGCGCAAGCCUGAUCCAGCCAUACCGCGUGGGUGAAGAAGGCCUUCGGGUUGUAAAGCCCUUUUGUUGGGAAAGAAAUCUUUCAGGCUAAUACCCUGGGAGGAUGACGGUACCCAAAGAAUAAGCACCGGCUAACUUCGUG
rnacentral:rRNA from 1 species